rnacentral:RNase_P_RNA from 1 species
UAAAUUAACAAUUUAGUCGCUUUAAUUUUAAUUUAAGAGGAAAGUCCGGGCUCCAAGAGUAAAGAUGCCAGAUAACAUCUGGGAAAUUAUUUAAUAUAAUUUACGACAAGUGCAACAGAAAAUAUACCGCUUUUUUAGAGUAAGGGUGAAAAGGUAUGGUAAGAGCAUACCAUAAAUUUGGUAACAAAUUUAGUUAUGUAAACUCCAUCUGGAGAAAGGUCAAAUUAAGAAUUUAUACUACUCGUAUUUCUUUGGUAGACCGAUUGAAUUAAUAUGUGAAUAUUAAUCUAGAUAAAUGACUAUUUAUACAGAAUCCGGCUUAUUAGUUAAUUUAUUAU